ACCGGCGCAAGGGUGCGUAACGCGUGAGCAACAUGCCCGUAUCAGGGGGGAUAAUCCAGGGAAACUUGGUCUAAUACCCCAUAGUAAUCUUAGGAGGCAUCUUUUAAGAUUUAAAGCUUUGGUGGAUACGGAUUGGCUCGCGUGACAUUAGCUAGAUGGUAGGGUAACGGCCUACCAUGGCUACGAUGUCUAGGGGUUCUGAGAGGAAGAUCCCCCACACUGGAACUGAGACACGGUCCAGACUCCUACGGGAGGCAGCAGUGAGGAAUAUUGGACAAUGGAUGGAAAUCUGAUCCAGCCAUGCCGCGUGCAGGAAGACUGCCCUAUGGGUUGUAAACUGCUUUUGUAUGGGAGCAAUAAGCCCUUCGUGAAGGGUGAUGAGAGUACCAUACGAAUAAGCAUCGGCUAACUCCGUGCCAGCAGCCGCGGUAAUACGGAGGAUGCAAGCGUUAUCCGGAUUUAUUGGGUUUAAAGGGUGCGUAGGCGGUUGGAUAAGUCAGCGGUGAAAGUUUUCUGCUUAACAGGAAAAAUGCCGUUGAUACUGUCUGGCUAGAAUAUGGUUGCUGUGAGUGGAAUGUGUGGUGUAGCGGUGAAAUGCUUAGAUAUCACACAGAAUAUCGAUUGCGAAGGCAGCUCACAAAGCCAUUAUUGACGCUGAGGCACGAAAGUGUGGGGAUCAAACAGGAUUAGAUACCCUGGUAGUCCACACU
rnacentral:rRNA from 1 species